UACGUAGGGUGCGAGCGUUGUCCGGAAUUAUUGGGCGUAAAGAGCUCGUAGGCGGUUCCGUAAGUCGAGUGUGAAAAAUCUGGGCUCAACCCAGUGGAGCACUCGAUACUGCGGUGACUAGAGUACGGUAGAGGAGUGUGGAAUUCCUGGUGUAGCGGUGAAAUGCGCAGAUAUCAGGAGGAACACCAACGGCGAAGGCAGCACUCUGGGCCGGUACUGACGCUGAGGAGCGAAAGCGUGGGGAGCAAACAGG
rnacentral:rRNA from 1 species